rnacentral:rRNA from 1 species
GAAGGUCACGGCGAGACGAGCCGUUUAUCAUUACGAUAGGUGUCAAGUGGAAGUGCAGUGAUGUAUGCAGCUGAGGCAUCCUAACAGACCGGUAGACUUGAACCUUGUUCCUACAUGACCCGAUCAAUUCGAUCAGGCACUCGCCAUCUAUUUUCAUUGUUCAACUCUUUGACAACAUGAAAAAACCAAAAGCUCUGCCCUCCCUCUCUAUCUAUCCACGGGAUGGAAGGGCG